GAUUUAGUGGCGAACGGGUGAGGAACACGUGAGAAACCUGCCCCGAACUUCGGGAUAACAGUUGGAAACGACUGCUAAUACCGAAUACCUCUGCGAAGUGGCAUCACUUUGCAAAGAAAGAAUUUCGGUUCGGGAGGGUCUCGCGGCCUAUCAGCUAGUUGGUGGGGUAAUGGCCUACCAAGGCAUCGACGGGUAGCUGGUCUGAGAGGAUGAUCAGCCACACUGGGACUGAGACACGGCCCAGACUCCUACGGGAGGCAGCAGUGGGGAAUCUUGUGCAAUGGGCGAAAGCCUGACACAGCAACGCCGCGUGCGGGAAGAAGGCCUUCGGGUCGUAAACCGCUUUCAGCAGGAACGAAAAUGACGGUACCUGCAGAAGAAGGUGCGGCCAACUACGUGCCAGCAGCCGCGGUGACACGUAGGCACCAAGCGUUGUCCGGAUUUAUUGGGCGUAAAGAGCUCGUAGGCGGUUCAGCAAGUCGGGUGUGAAAACUCUGGGCUUAACCCAGAGCCUGCACCCGAAACUGCUGUGACUAGAGUUCGGUAGGGGAGCGGGGAAUUCCUGGUGUAGCGGUGAAAUGCGCAGAUAUCAGGAGGAACACCGGUGGCGAAGGCGCCGCUCUGGGCCGAAACUGACGCUGAGGAGCGAAAGCGUGGGUAGCAAACAGGAUUAGAUACCCUGGUAGUCCACGCCGUAAACGUUGGGCACUAGGUGUGGGUCUCUAACCAACGAGAUCCGCGCCGUCGCUAACGCAUUAAGUGCCCCGCCUGGGGAGUACGGUCGCAAGACUAAACUCAAAGGAAUUGACGG
rnacentral:rRNA from 1 species